UGGAAAGCCCCUGAGUGCUACUUUCCUAAUGGAAAGAGCUCAGAGGGAAUGGCUUCUGAGCCUUCACCACCAAGGACAGCAUGAAACUAGCCACUUGCCACCUGGCUAUACCUAAUAUGCUAAACCACAUAUGAAGAAGGGAGCUCCAGAAAGAUAUAUUGCAAGCCCCCAAGAAGGUAUGACUCCUUGUGAGUUUGCAAGAUCUAGCAUACACAGGCAGGCUCUUUAUUCUGGGGAGGUAGGUGUGAGGUUUUUCUCUGCUACUGGAGUAUGGGAAGAGGUAAGCCAUUCUCUAAAUCUCAGACGUUUUUCUCUCUGAGUUUGUGGAGUGGUUUCUAAUGUAAGUGCUAACUUACACUGCUGCUAAUUGCUGCUGAUUGCUGGUAAAUUGCUGGCAAUAGCAACUGGCUGUCCUGGCAGCAGCAAUGGCAUAUCCCAAGAUAGCAGAAGCAGGGAUGGAAAGCUGUAAGUGGUGCUGGGAUGCCUGGAUGAGAAGCCCAGAUUGCCAAGGCAGCCUAACAAGCCACUUGGCAAGGGGAGCCCAGAAGGAAAACCUCACUUGGAAACCCAAGGCCACUAAGAGGUAGGGAAACAGAGAGCAUGAUUCCAGCAGACACUGGGACUCUGCUGCAUUAAUCUUCUUGUUAAAAGUUGAAUGGAUGCCACUAACCUUGAGGAAAGUUGCUUCUUAGUAGCUCAGUGUGUCAGAAUUCUGAAGAAAUACAAGAUAAAAUAAGGGGAGUAAUAUCAAAUGGAAAUAAGGAAAUUCAAGAUUUUGGUAAACUGAUAAAAAUUAGUGAAGGGCAUGCAUGCUGACAUGUAACAGAAGAUUAUUCCAGAAUGUUAGGAUUACCUAAUAAUUAUUGGCCCAUCCUUCUUCUCUCCAGCACACUUUUAAGGGAGAACUUUCUUCUUCACUUCUGAUUUUCCUCUUCUCCUGGGCUGGUGUGAAAAUAUGUACAGAAGAAGUCCUUUCCAUGUAUGAUUGAUUGAUUUAUUGAACAAACGUUUAUUGAGCCCAGUGACUGCACUAUCCUAGGCUUUAGGCCUAUAACAUGAUAUUAGAUGGAAUUUAACUUGUUUCAGGCUUUUUCUGCUCUUUCCUUACUCCUUUGACAGUUUAAUGCAGCUAUCAACCCUGCCUGGAUGCUCCUUCCUUUUCUUUUUUAGGUUGGGAUGGAUGGGGGUGGGACAGGUGGGACUACCUGUCCCUGAGGCAGACAGAUGAUGUUCCAGAGGGAGACUAGGGCACUUUCUUGGUAAUUUAUAGGUCAUCAACAGACAUAAAGGGAAAGGAAGUGCCACUUGAAGUUACUGUGUCAGCUGAGGACUCAAGCAUAUGAACAUGUGAUGUACCAUUCCCUACUCAUUGGAACACCUAUAGAAAACAAGGAUCAAAGAAGUUACAUGGUUCAUCAAUAGUUACAGAGAUGACAUGAAAGUUUAUGUGGAAAAUCCCAAUGAACCUACGUAAGAAGCAGGAGGGGGAGGAGAAGGAGAAGAAGAAGGAGGAG